rnacentral:misc_RNA from 1 species
GGAGGAGCAUUGGCUUGCAUCAUUGUGGGUUGGCCAUCAUUGUUGUGAUCAUCAUUGCAGUCAUUAUAGUCAUCAUAAGUUUCCUCAAAGAAUCCUGUUCACAAGCAGCUGCAUGUCUCUUACUCUGCCACUCCAUUCCUUUAGUGCUACAUGGUGUCAUUGUGAUUCUUUUGAUUUUUCUUUCUUUCUUGCCUUUUCAUAUCUUCCCCAUUUUGCACUAAAGUGUUCCUUAACAAUAAUUGCAUCUCCUCUAGUUUAUUGCCUAAAGUCCAUAGCUGUCUUAUCUAGUAUGACCCUUCCUGUGUUUCUGUCACUUUAAGUUCUUUGAAUUCCAUUUCCUUAUAUUUUAUGACCAAAUAUGUUGCUUCUUGACUUCCCU